ensembl:lncRNA
CCCCCCAUCCUCAUCCUUCUUCAGGGACCCCUCUCAAAAGCAACUCCUCUUACAAGAGGUGCGGAAGCUCCUUGCCAUGGGAGCCAUAGAGGAGGUACCAAAGAACGAAAGGGGCAAGGGGUUCUACUCCCACUAUUUCCUAAUCCCCAAGGUGAAGGGAGGUCUCAGACCUAUCCUAGACCUGCGAGAACUCAAACAAGUUCAUGAUAAAGUUGAAGUUCCGCAUGGUAUCCCUGGGGCCAUCAUCCCAUCCUUGGAUCCCGGAGACUGGUAUGCCGCCCUCGAUAUGAAGGACGUGUGUUUUCACAUCGCCAUCUAUCCUCCACACAGACAAUACCUCCGGUUUGUAGCCAACCAUCAACAUUUCCAGUUUACGGUCCUUCCGUUCGGCCUCUCUACGGCUCCAAGAGUAUUCACAAAGUGCAUGGCUGUAGUUGCCACCUUCCUCCGCUGCCGGAUACACAUUUUUCCGUAUCUCGACGAAUGGCUCAUUCAAGGGACCUCCGAGGCACAAGUCACCCAUUAUGUGGACAUCGUCAAGGACCUAUUCAUGAGUCUAGGCCAGAUGAUCAAUACAGAGAAAUCCACUCUGGUUCCCACACAGAGGAUAGACUUCAUUGGGGCCAGCCUGGACUCCAAUCUCACCACAGCCUGUUUACCACAGCCUCAGUUUCAGGUGAUGGUAACAAAUUAUCCGAGGCCUACAGAACUUCCCGACAACUUCGGCUCGCACUUGUCUCGGUCUCCUGGGUCACAUGACUGCCUGCAUGUUCGUGACCAAACACGCCAGGCUACGCCUCCGUCCCCUCCAAUCUUGGCUCACCUUGGUAUACCACCCGGGCAGAGACACCAUAGACAUGAGAGUCACGAUUCCCCUGAGCAUAAUAGGCUCCCUCAACUGGUGGUUGACACUCUCCCUGGUGUGUGCAGGGAUGCCGUUCCAUCCACCUCAGCCUUCUAUGUCCUUGACGACGGAUGUGUCAUCUCUCGGCUGGGGUGCUCACCUCGGCCAUCUUCGCACUCAAGGCCUUUAGUCAUCUCAGGAGCUGGCCUUGCACAUCAAUGUCCGAGAGCUGAGAGCAGUCCGCCUGGCAUGCCAGGCAUUUCAACAGCAUUUGCAAGGCCGUUGUGUCUCAGUGUUCACAGACGACACAAUGGCCAUGUAUUACAUAAACAAGCAGAGAGGGACACGGUCCUCCCCUCUUUGUCAGGAAGCCAUCCAGCUUUGGGACUUCUGUAUAGCCCACUCGAUAGACUUGGUAGCGUCUUUUCUCCCAGGAGUUUGGAACGCUCUGGCGGAUCGACUCAGCAGAUCCUUCCUGUCUCACGAGUGGUCGAUUUGUCCGGACAUUAUUCAUUCUGUUUUCCGGAAGUGGGGCUUUCCCUAUAUAGACCUCUUUGCUUCCCACGAGAACAGGAAAGGCCAGAUGUUCUGCUCCUUCCAAGGCCUCUCCCUGGGCUCAAUCUUGGACGCUUUCCUGAUGUCGUGGACCAGCCAACUGCUUUACGCCUUUCCACCAUUCCCGCUGGUUCACAGGGUCCUGAUAAAGCUCCACAGGGACAGAGCUCACUUGAUCAUGAUCGCUCCAGCGUGGCUCAGGCAGCACUGGUACACCAUGCUGCUCGACUUGUCGAUAGCCAACCCAGUCACCCUGCCUCUUCGCCCAGACCUCAUAACUCAGGACCACGGCAGACUUCACCACCCAGACCUGCAGUCCCUUCACCUCACAGCAUGGCUGCUGCGUGGUUAAGCCAGUCCGAGUUACGUUGCUCUGCCUCAGUACAACAAGUACUCCUGGGUAGCAGGAAACCUUCCACUCGGUCAACACAUCUGGCCAAGUGGAAGUAUUUCUCCUGCUGGUGCGAAACGCAUAAUGUUACUCCCACCAAGGUCUCGAUCCCCGCUGUCUUGGACUACCUCUGGUCUCCCAAACAACAGGGCCUAGCAGUAACAUCAUUGAGGGUGCACUUGGCAGCCAUCUCUACCUUCCACGCAGGGGAAAGUGGCCGCUCCGUGUUCUCACACCCUAUGGUUUCUAGGUUACUCAAGGGCUUGGACCACCUAUACCCCCAAGUAUGCCAUCCCGCCCCAACCUGGGACCUCAACCUGGUUCUAACCAGACUUAGGUCUGCUCCUUUUGAGCUGUUAGCAACCUGCUCACUACUAUACCUGUCCUCGAAGACUGCUUUCCUCAUAGCCAUUACAUUGGCCAGACGAGUUUCCGAGCUUAGGGCUCUCACAGUGGACCCACUGUAUACUGUGUUUCACAAGGACAAGGUCCAGUUGCGACCACACCCGGCUUUCCUCCUUAAAGUGGUAUCGGCCUUUCAUAUCAACCAGGAUAUCUUCCUUCCCGUCUUCUUCCUGAAGCCACACUCGUCAAGACGGGAACAACAGUUGCACUCCCUAGACGUUCGUAGAAUGGUCGCGUUUUAUAUCUAGCGGAUGAAACCCUUUCGUAAAACACCCCAACUCUUCAUAGCGGUGGCAGACCGAAUGAAGAGCCUACCUGUCUCCUCCCAGAGGAUCUCAUCUUGGGUGACGGUGUGCAUCCGUACUUGUUAUGACUUGGCUUAUGUCCCCUUGAGCCACCUCACCGCACAUUCUACCAGGGCUCAGGCUUCAUCUGCCACCUUCCUGGCUCAUGUACCCAUCCAGGAGAUAUGUCGUGCAGCUACCUGGUCCUCCGUCCACACCUUUGCCUCACAUUACGCUCUGGUUCAACAGUCCAGAGAUGAUGCAGCCUUUGGCUCAGCAGUUCUGCAUUCUGCAACAUCUGACUCCGACCUCACCGUCUAGGUAAGGGCUUGGGAAUCAGCUAAUUGGAAUCGAUAUGAGCAAGCACUUGAAGAAGAAAAGACGGUUACUCACCUUUUAACUGUU